GACGAACGCUGGCGGCGUGCUUAACACAUGCAAGUCGAACGGUGAAGCGCCUUCCUUUUUGGUGGGUGUGGAUGAGUGGCUAACGGGUGAGUAACACGUGAGUAACCUGCCCCCUUCUUCUGGAUAACCGCAUGAAAGUGUUGCUAAUACGGGAUAUUCUGUGUCUGUCUCAUGAUUGGUCUGUGCAAGAUUUUGUUUCUGUUGUGGAUGUGCUCGCGGACUAUCAGCUUGUUGGUGGGGUGAUGGCCUACCAAGGCGGUGACGGGUAGCCGGCCCGAGAGGGUGGACGGUAACACAGGGACGGAGACACGGCCAAGACUCCUACGGGAGGCAGCAGUGGGGAAUAUUGCACAAUGGGCGCAAGCAUGAUGCAGCGACGCCGCGUGAGGGAUGGAGGCAUUCGGGUUGUGAACCUCUUUCGCCAGUGAAGCAGGCCUGCCUCGUUUGUGGGUGGGUUGACGGUAGCUGGAUAAGAAGCGCCGGCUAACUACGUG
rnacentral:rRNA from 1 species